AGUUUAGCAGAAUUGUAAAGUGAAUACUUGUGUAAACACUAUCUGGACCAAGAAAUAGGAUCUACUGGCACUGCAGAAGUUCCCCUUACUGUGGAUUUCAAUCCCAUCCACAACCCUCUCCCUGUAUCCCAAAGGUGAUCACUAGACUGGCUCUUUACAUUUUUACUACCUUUGUAUGUAUCCCUAAACUAUAGUUUCGUGUGGUCUUUUUGGGGAGCCUAACAAAUAGAAUCAUAUGGUAUACUUUAAAGAAUUAAUUGAAGUGUAAUGUACAUAUAGAAGAAUCCACAGCUCAUAGCAUAGAGCUCAAUUGUCAUAAGAACACACCAGUCUAGCUAUCAUCUAGUUAGUGUACAUUUUUUUAUGAUCUUGCCUUUUCUGCUCAACAUUGUAUCCAUAAGAGGGUAGCUGUAAUUUGUUAUUUUCAUUGCUGUAAUACAUUUCUUUAUUCUCACUCUAAAUGAAAUGAAAGAGCUAAAUAAACAGUAACUGUCUGAAGGAAA
rnacentral:lncRNA from 10 species